rnacentral:rRNA from 1 species
UAGCGGCAGGCUUAACACAUGCAAGUCGAGGGGUAACAGGGUGCUUGCACCGCUGACGACCGGCGAACGGGUGCGUAACGCGUAUAGAAUCUGCCUUGUACAGGAGGAUAGCCUUUAGAAAUGAAGAUUAAUACUCCAUAGUGUAGAGAAGUGGCAUCACUUUUUUAUUAAAGAUUUAUCGGUACAAGAUGACUAUGCGUCCUAUUAGCUAGAUGGUAAGGUAACGGCUUACCAUGGCAACGAUAGGUAGGGGGUCUGAGAGGAUUAUCCCCCACACUGGUACUGAGACACGGACCAGACUCCUACGGGAGGCAGCAGUGAGGAAUAUUGGUCAAUGGAGGCAACUCUGAACCAGCCAUGCCGCGUGCAGGAAGACUGCCCUAUGGGUUGUAAACUGCUUUUAUACAGGAAGAAACAGUCGUACGUGUACGGCCUUGACGGUACUGUAAGAAUAAGCACCGGCUAACUCCGUGCCAGCAGCCGCGGUAAUA